CACUGUUACAGCUUUAAGAAUUUGUCUAGAGGACUUUCUGUUUUUUACUGGAAAGCUCCCCA
ensembl:snRNA U7 U7 small nuclear RNA